GCUGGUAUGGUGGAAUAGGCAGACACAAGAGACUUAAAAUCUCUCGGAGGCGACUCCGUGCCGGUUCAAGUCCGGCUACCAGCA
rnacentral:tRNA from 1 species